GACGAACGCUGGCGGCGUGCCUAAUACAUGCAAGUUGAGCGCUGAAGGUUGGUACUUGUACCAACUGGAUGAGCAGCGAACGGGUGAGUAACGCGUGGGGAAUCUGCCUUUGAGCGGGGGACAACAUUUGGAAACGAAUGCUAAUACCGCAUAAAAACUUUAAACACAAGUUUUAAGUUUGAAAGAUGCAAUUGCAUCACUCAAAGAUGAUCCCGCGUUGUAUUAGCUAGUGGUGAGGUAAAGGCUCACCAAGGCGAUGAUACAUAGCCGACCUGAGAGGGUGAUCGGCCACAUUGGGACUGAGACACGGCCCAAACUCCUACGGGAGGCAGCAGUAGGGAAUCUUCGGCAAUGGACGAAAGUCUGACCGAGCAACGCCGCGUGAGUGAAGAAGGUUUUCGGAUCGUAAAACUCUGUUGGUAGAGAAAAACGUUGGUGAGAGUGGAAAGCUCAUCAAGUGACGGUAACUACCCAGAAAGGGACGGCUAACUACGUG
rnacentral:rRNA from 1 species